CCUACGGGUGGCAGCAGUGAGGAAUAUUGGUCAAUGGGCGCGAGCCUGAACCAGCCAAGUCGCGUGAGGGAAGACGGCCCUAUGGAUUGUAAACCUCUUUUGUCGGGGAGUAAAAGACGCCACGCGUGCCUUUUCGAGAGUACUUGAAGAAAAAGCAUCGGCUAACUCCGUGCCAGCAGCCGCGGUAAUACGGAGGGGCCAAGCGUUAUCCGGAUUUACUGGGUGUAAAGGGAGCGUAGAUGGGGUGGCAAGUCAGUAGUGAAAGUUUGCGGCUCAACCGUAAAAUUGCAAUGGAUACUGGCAGGCGAGAGUACAGUUGAGGUAGGAGGAAUUCGUGGUGUAGCGGUGAAAUGCGUAGAUAUUACGAAGAACCCCGAUGGCGAAGGCAGCUUACUAAACAGUGACUGACAUUGAGGCCCGAAAGUGUGGGGAGCAAACAGGAUUAGAUACCCGGGUAGUC
rnacentral:rRNA from 1 species